rnacentral:rRNA from 1 species
AACGAACGCUGGCGGCAUGCCUAACACAUGCAAGUCGAACGAAGCCUUCGGGCUUAGUGGCGCACGGGUGCGUAACGCGUGGGAAGUCUGCCCCUCGGUUCGGAAUAACAGUUAGAAAUGACUGCUAAUACCGGAUGAUGACGAAAGUCCAAAGAUCUAUCGCCGAGGGAUGAGCCCGCGUAGGAUUAGCUUGUUGGUGGGGUAAUGGCCCACCAAGGCGACGAUCCUUAGCUGGUCUGAGAGGAUGAUCAGCCACACUGGGACUGAGACACGGCCCAGACUCCUACGGGAGGCAGCAGUGGGGAAUAUUGGACAAUGGGCGAAAGCCUGAUCCAGCAAUGCCGCGUGAGUGAUGAAGGCCUUAGGGUUGUAAAGCUCUUUUACCAGGGAUGAUAAUGACAGUACCUGGAGAAUAAGCUCCGGCUAACUCCGUGCCAGCAGCCGCGGUAAU